ACAACGGCUGUGGGAUCAUGGAAGUGACGUCUCGGAGCAAUGUGCCAGCUCACGGAGCCAAGAGCCUGCCGAGAAAAGGGCGCAGCUCCUACGCACAGGACGGAGGUGUGUCAGACGAACACGCGUAAAAGUAACACAGUAUAUUCGCACUCUUCCAACAGUAAAUUCUAGCAGCCGCAUCCGUAAACCCCGUCACAGCAUUUAGGGCUCCCUCCGUUCGUCGAGGGUGGAUCACUUCAAGUUCAACCCUAGUAACAGAAGCUACCUCAUCUGGAAAAUCACUCUGGAUUACGCAGGAAGGACAACAAUUGUGCUGGGGUUACGAUAACAAAACCGAACGCAGCACUAAGCUACUAGGCUUUAAAUUUAUGUUUUGUCCAUCUAGUUGUUUACCUGGCUUAUUAAAAAAACGAUUUGCAGAUUCUUAUUCGGCAAGACUUACUUCCGAAAGCAGUUAUUUUGCUGUGCCACAAGGACAGGUCGAUCUGAAUAACGUCCCAGUUGCAAGGGAGAAGUUUAUUUGUAAUGUGCUUUUCCCUGUAAUUAGAUGCAUGUUCCUGUUAACGGGAAAGCAGUGGUAGAAAUGCAGAAACACAAAGAAGUCGGUGGUACGUGCAUUUCGGAUACUUCCCUUUCCUGGUUAUGCAUUAUGCAAAGCCAGCAGAUUGAUAAUUUAACCCUCUGAUCACUUAAAUUGGUUCUGUUAAAAUGAGGAAAGACAGCGUCGCUGUAACAAGGACCAACUACCAGACAAACAAAUCAAGGAAAUUUCUGCCUCCAUCUUUGGUUUAUACGCAGUGAGUGAGGUCUCAUUUUUUGAGCCGUCCCUGUGGUGCUUACAAAGCCUGAAUCAAGAAGGAAGGGAGGCGACAGCAGACCUUAUUUUAGCAGGCUUUCUCACUCAUCUAUAUCCUACGCCCUUCUCGAACCGUCCUCAACGCAACACACAACUAGGCCAGUUUCGGCAAGACAAAAGCGAAAUGCACAGAAGAUGCAGGUUUCGUGUCCUGAUUACCACAGAUGACUACGCUGAAGGUUUGGCUCUCUACGCAGCAGCGCCUACGUUCGCUCAACAAGCUGCACCAAGAUCUCCCCACGCGUCACCACUGCCCGCAGCACCGGACCGGGGGACUUCCCUGAGCCACCAGCGUGGCUGGCCACCAAAAGAGCUUCUGCUCCCUCACCUCCACAGCAGCCAAGAGGAGCCUCCGGAGCUGAGCUGGUCCCAGGCCUUCUCCGCACUGGGAGACCACGCUCCUCCUCCAUCCAUGUGCAGCCCCGCGUGACUGCCGGCCGGCCGGCACGGUUGGGCUGAAGAGCCCCUUGUGCACUCUGUCCGGAACUAGCAAGCACCUUUCAAGUGCAAAUUAACAAACUGGUUUCUUACCAGUCAGAAACCAUGGCAGCAGAAAGUGAAAACUUCAAAUGAAGCAACUUUCUGGUGUUUGGUGGCAUCUGCAAAGCCACCUGCGGGCUCUGCAUUCGGUUGCCAUGAUGAUUCUGCAGACCGAACACCACCUGCCUGUGGUCAGGCUCCACUGACGCAGUGAAACGCCCGUCCUGUUCAACUUUCCCCCCAGAGCUCUCAGCCAAGCAACGCACUUCAGCACUUCCAAAGAAGCGUUGAGUCACGGGGUGUUUCCGCAAGGCAGGAAGAAAAAAGCUUUGAUAAGAUAAAGACACUGCCACUGCAGAGACCACAAGACUACUUUUAGUACGUACAGGAAGAGUCAGAAUAGUAGUUCUUUGAAGUAAGGCAUUUAAAUAUUUUUCUCCAGUGAAAGUACCAAUUUAUACGGAUUGCUAUUUGCACAACAGCUCAGAUUUGCCUUGAAGCAAAAACUAGAGCAAACGCUAACGCUUUUAUGUGAACAUCCUCAGGUCUCUCAGUACCUACAGAUAAUAUGAAUAGGUAGCACAAGACAUCAAUCUUUAUUGUCUCACGUGUAUAUCACUCACAGGAAGACAGUCUGUUAACCCUCUUAGCAGCAACAUCACUUUUCACCUCCGGACACAUACGACACUUGCAAAUCCCAAUUAGCAUCAGACACAACACUGCCUUAGUGGAGCUGAAAAGCAGAACAUGGAGGUACCUGAAGUGCCCUGUUUUCAUGAGUCUAAAAUAUUGCAGGACGAAGGUCUUUGGUAUCAGUACAACUUAACAGGGGGAUAACUGCACUUGAUUUCUGAACGGUAGUUUCACCUGGAUGGCCAGGAACCGUCCUGCACAGGCCACACACGCAAGCUGCUGUAUGUUCAACACAACAUGCAGCUAUUCUACCUGCCACGAAAAGCGUAAGCAAUUCCCAGGCAGCAGAAGGGAGCAUGAUAGAGGAUCAAUGCCAUCUUUGUCAUCUAAGGUUUGCAGAUUACUACUAGUCCAAUCUCACAAGAGUGAAAUCCAGAACCCUGAGUUCAGUGUGACCAAGUCCAACACGUCUACAGUUCAGUGCUUUCUGAGGGGUCACUCCAGCUCUUCCAGUUGCCUCUUCUUGAACCUAGAAGUGAAAAGCCAGGAUUGCCAGGAGGAGGGGCAGGAUUCCUACAAGAGACAAAUAAGAAACUUCAGCCUUCAAUCCAAAAACAUUUGCUUACUUCUUGCCUCCCCACUCCCAGACAUAUGGUAUCUUUAGCAUUUUUUCCUCUUUUCAAAGGAUGAUCAUAAAGCAAUAAAAAUAUAAAUAUGACAAGUGUGGAAAGCUCAUAAGCCUGUUCCAGGUUUAAGCAGAAUGCAUACAAUUGCUUAAGAGACAAUAACUUAAAGACGGGGCAGACAGCGUGGUUGAGAGUGACUUCAGAGAAUAACGUGAUGCUAUUAACAUGUUAAUGCUCACAGCACAGCAGCCGAAACUUUCUGUUGCUUCGGCUACAGGGACUGUUGCUAGCAAGAGAGGAGCCCAGGCAGCUGGGAGAACAGCCACUCACACUGCUGUGGCCAGCACUUGCAGUCAUUAAGAUACACACUUAGUACUAGCACUGGACAGCACAAGAGACCAGUGCUUACACAUGCGCAAGAUUCAGGAAUUUUUGUUACUUACCAGCAAUGAUCUUGUUAGCUGCACCUGGAAAAGAAGGGAGCAAAAAUGAGAAACUGAACACCCAUUAAGCACAGGAGUUCAUCAAACUAUGCAACAUUCAGUGCCUCAAAUCAAAGCCAACGCACGUUAAAGUGACAACUGAAACAACACAGAGAAUGGGACCCCUGUGCAACCCAAGGCUCCAGAUGUUUAAUGGAUGAAUACAUUUCCACUAGCCUGCAAGUCUUUGCAGCAACCUAGUCAUGUGCUUUUGGCACCAGAUUUCAAUGCAAGCUGUUUCACAAAGUUUUGAAGGCUUAUUCCUUAACUGAACUACCUGAUUUGAGGAUUCACAGAGGAAGCAAAAACACAGGUUUUCUAAGAGCGAGGGAGAGAGAGGAGAUAGUCAACUUGCAUUCAGGUGUAGGCUUGUACGAGGUGUCUUGGUAAGAACGAUUUUGUCUUCAUUACCAAGAACAGCACAAAGUUUUUGCAGAUCUCUGUUAUGUAAGAACUGUACUAAUGUGAUAUGUGUUACUCAAUACUAGCUAAUAUUAGUAAAUCAGUCGCAUUGUGGCAAUAUUGCAUGUCAUUGGUUCGAUGUUUAUCUCUCACAACAGUGAUUACCAUCUAAGUUCGUUCUAUUGCAGCAGAACAAACUUUGCAGCACAUCUGCAAAGUACAGUUCCACAUGGAGGAGGCAAGAGAAAUGAAAUCAAAAGAAAACAGAGAGAAGGAAAACAUUUACCUUUGCAUUCAGGGGCUGUACCACUCCAUUUUCCAUUCAAGUUAUCAUCUGAUAUACAGUGAAUUGUGGACUCUCCGAUAAGAGAAAAGCCACGGUGACAGCUGUAAGUAACAGUUGAGCCAAGGGUAAAGACUCUGCUCCCAGCACUGAACUCUCCAUUUGCGAUUGCAGGAGGAGACGUACAUCCAAUAACUGCAAGGAAAAGCAGCAGAAAAAUGUAAAAACAUUUCCAUCAAAUACAGAACCAAAAUCUGCCUGCUAAAAAGGAAUUAAUCAAAGCCAAAGGAAAAACAGGGAAUGAGUCCUAAAGCAACCAUUUCAAAUUAAGAGUCUUGAAUGCUCCUUCAAAUUCUGAAUGUUUUCCGGUUUUUAAAAUGAGUAAAAGAACAACAGCAAAGCAGCACCCAUUGCCCUAGAGAAGAGGCCUCCUUGACACAAUAAACAUGCUCUGCCUGAGCAGUCAGGCACCCUCGGCUAUCUUUGAUGGUGUUUCUUGCCUUUGCUGAGAACAAGGCUAAAAUAAUUACUACAACACGAGUGAUCCAGCCUCCACAGCAGCCCAGCGGCCACAGUGCGCGGAGUCAGGCAGCCUGCCGCAGGGCCGCGCUGGCCGAUACCAGCCUCCAGCCUCAGGAAUUGCUUUUCUUGUGGAUCUGACUGCAGGAGCUGCUGCCAACAUCCACAGAUUCCCCCUGGCAUUUCCAUCCCCAUUUCCAAAGGGCGUGUUUGGGCGAGAAGUCAGGAGACAGUCUCAUCACAGGUUAAUGUCAUUUGGAUCAAGGGCUAUCCAUGGGCUGAAGAUUCUGUUAAACCAAGCCCUGCCUCUGACCACAACUUGGGACAUCACUGCAGUAAGCUUUUGGGAAUCAUUUAAAACUCAAAACAACCUUCUCCUGUUUGUCAACUCAUCUGCAAAGUACAGUUCCACAUGGAGGAGACAAGAAAUGAAAUGAAAAGAAAAUGGAGAGAAAGAAAACAUUUACCUUUGCAUUCAGGCGCUGGACCACUCCAUUUUCCAUUCAAGUUAUCAUCUGAUGUACAGUGAAUCGAGGACUCUCCGAUGAGAGAAAAGCCAACGUGACAGCUGUAAGUAACAGUUGAGCCAAACGUAAAGUCUCUGCUCUCAGCAUUGAGCUCUCCAUUUUCAAUCCCAGGAGGUGGCAUACAGGGAAUAACUGCAAGGAAAAGCAGCAGAAAACUGUAGGAACAUUUCCAUCAAAUACGGAACCAAAAUCUGCCUGCUAAAAAGCCUCAAGGAAAAGAUGUACACAACGCAUUUAAGAGCCUCUUACUUUCACAGUACGGAACCUGACUCCAAGUGACGUCGCUGCCUUGAAGUAUACAUUCUGCAGAUGAAUCCCCAAUGAGUCGGUACCUAAGGAAAGAAAAGGUUGAAUCUCUUUGAAAAAGAAAAGAGUGAAAAAACGUGGGAAAUUCAAAAAAAAUUGUUGUUUCUAAUGGCGUUCUCUAGAGGAGCUGAACCUCUGGGGAAAAACAGCCCUCCUGUAAAAUACAGUUUGCUCAGGACCCAGAGAAAUGCAUGACGAUGUAGUGACGAGAUGCUUAAUACUGGUAGUGGGUAGGUACAGGGUCAGAGAAGCUUUAGGAAGACAGCAUCCUCACCCUGAGCCUGUACAGCCCUGAGACGGAGCAGCGCUGCUUCUUUAGACGGGGGAACUUAGCUCCCUUCCCUGAAAAAGGCUUGCAUUCCUUAAAGGGAGAGAUUUUUGCAGAGAUUUCAACAAAGGGGUAUUUCUAAAACUGUAUCCCACUGAUGGCAUCACACCUGCAAAGGGUUUAAGUCUGCAGCGUGCAAAUUUGUAUCUUGCUGCACAUUUUCUGCAGACAAGACAGCCUACCAACCAGAAGCUGGGCACUCAAGCCCUUCAGGGCUCCUGUGCUGCACAGCGCAGCGAUAGACCCACACAGAAGUUCAUUUUCUGAACGGAGCUGGCUGUCACUGACUCACCUUCAGCUGCUCUCUUUCCCUCUCCUCCCACAUUCCCGGGACACCAAAGCCCCCUUCUCCCAACACCUCUUAGCUAAGGUGCAGGCAGCCAAGUCCAUGGCACAACAGCAGACGCACCCGCCGGACACCCGCUGCUUCUCGGGUAGAAAAUGCAUUCAGCGUCUUGCAGGAGCCAGCUUAAAUGCUGAGUUACUCAACAGGACCAACGGGAAUAGAGAAAAUCUUUGUGAAGGAGCUGACGACGGCUUGCAAAGAACAGGCUCUUGACCUCAGAAGAUAACCUGUCCUGGGAGCAGCGACAGGACAGAGCCUCAUCUCCGCAGUGCCCCGCUCUGAACACCUUCUCUCAUGCUUGUGCUUUCCAAGGAAGCAGCUCCAAGACACUGAAAAGCCUCCGAGUCUCCAGCUCCUGCAGGUGCUGCCUCGCGGCCGGAGCUCUAUGGACUAGCCCAGGAACCCAGGCAGACACUUACCCUUCGUUACAGGCGAAGUUUAUUACCGCUCCAAAUCGGAGAUCAGUUACAUAAUCAAAUUUGCCAUUUGGUAUAUCUGGUGGACUGCACAGCUUUCCUGCGAGGACAAAUGACCAGCAUUAGCUCUAUUUCAUGCCGUUAUGGUGAAGCGCAGGUAACACUGCUGCUGAGUGUUGUUACAGACCAAAUCGCCAUUUCUCAGGCACCUGCCUUUCCUCGCUAGCAAGUACUGACCCACAAUUACACUCAAUCGCAGUUGCUUCUCCAGAGAUCACUUAGUAUGCACACAUGAGGGAUUCAUCUGAAU